UCAGUUGUGAAAGUUUGCGGCUCAACCGUAAAAUUGCAGUUGAUACUGGCAGUCUUGAGUGCAGUAGAGGUGGGCGGAAUUCGUGGUGUAGCGGUGAAAUGCUUAGAUAUCACGAAGAACUCCGAUUGCGAAGGCAGCUCACUGGAGUGUAACUGACGCUGAUGCUCGAAAGUGUGGGUAUCAAACAGGAUUAGAUACCCUGGUAGUCCACACAGUAAACGAUGAAUACUCGCUGUUUGCGAUAUACGGCAAGCGGCCAAGCGAAAGCGUUAAGUAUUCCACCUGGGGAGUACGCCGGCAACGGUGAAACUCAAAGGAAUUGACGGGGGCCCGCACAAGCGGAGGAACAUGUGGUUUAAUUCGAUGAUACGCGAGGAACCUUACCCGGGCUUAAAUUGCACUCGAAUGAUCCGGAAACGGUUCAGCUAGCAAUAGCGAGUGUGAAGGUGCUGCAUGGUUGUCGUCAGCUCGUGCCGUGAGGUGUCGGCUUAAG
rnacentral:rRNA from 1 species